GACUACGAAUACAAAUCUCCUCCACCUCCAGUUAUGAACCCAUCACCGCCCCAUUACAUCUAUGCAUCACCUCCACCGCCUCCCUACCACUAUUAGAUCUAUAUGCCUUCUAUUACUACAUGAAGGAACAUGAGGAAAUAUUCAUAUCAAUAAAGGGACAGCCUAUUGAAGAUGAUCACUACACACAAAGCAGGGCCUCCACCUCUAGUUAUUCAUGUCAUGUAAUCCAUGUUUAUUUAAAGAUUUAGUUUUCUGUAUUGUGUAUUCAUAUACAUUCAACAUUAUUAUUGAAGAGUUCAAAUUUUUAUUG